rnacentral:tRNA from 1 species
UGGGGNGUGGCCAAGUGGUAAGGCAACGGGUUUUGGGCCCGGNAUUCGAAGGUUCGAAUCCUUCCGUCCCAG